GAUGAACGCUAGCGGUGUGCCUAAUGCAUGCAAGUCGAACGGGAUCCUUUGGAUUCGUCUGAAGGUGAGAGUGGCGAACGGGUGAGUAACACGUAGGUGACCUGCCCCGGAGAGGGGGACAACCACUGGAAACGGUGGCUAAUACCCCAGAUGUUAUUGCGCUUAGAAAGCAAUUACUAAAGUUCCGGCGCUCCGGGAGGGGCCUGCGGCCCAUCAGCUUGUUGGUAAGGUAAUGGCUUACCAAGGCUAAGACGGGUAGGGGGCGUGAGAGCGUGACCCCCCACACUGGUACUGAGACACGGACCAGAUACCUGCGGGUAGCAGCAGCAAGGAAUAUUGCCCAAUGGACGAAAGUCUGAGGCAGCAACACCGCGUGGAGGAUGAAGGCCUUCGGGUUGUAAC
rnacentral:rRNA from 1 species